GUGCCAGCAGCCGCGGUAAUACAGGGGGUGCAAGCGUUACUCGGAAUUAUUGGGCGUAAAGAGCGCGUAGGCGGUCUAGUAAGUUUGGUGUGAAAUCCCUGGACUCAAUUCAGGAAGUGCAUUGAAUACUGCUAGACUGGAGUAUUGGAGAGGACAGCGGAAUUCCAGGUGUAGAGGUGAAAUUCGUAGAUAUCUGGAGGAACAACAGUAGCGAAGGCGGCUGUCUGGACAAUUACUGACGCUGAGGCGCGAAAGCGUGGGGAGCAAACAGGAUUAGAUACCCUGGUAGUCC
rnacentral:rRNA from 1 species